rnacentral:lncRNA from 1 species
CGGGAUUCCGUGCUGUGCGGGCCGGGCGCUGGCGUUGGAUUGAGUUCUGUGAGUUGACUGGGCAUUCUGCAUCACAAGGUGUGGCUGGGCACUGGAACAGCCGAAGUCACCUGGGAGCUGACUGGGUUGGACUGUCCAGGAUGGUUCACUCCUACGACAGUGGAUGCUCAACUGGGGCUGUCAACUGGAGCCCCCAUAGGUCACUGUUUCAAGGAGGAGGGGAACUAGACUCCAGCUCUUGAUGAAAGCAGUGAUAAGGAAUUUGCAGUUCUAGUUGAUCUACUGCAGCUUUCAUGGUGUUUUUUCCAUAUACUGAUUAUAUAAUAGUAUUUGUCACCUUUUGCCAAGCGCCACGUAUUACAAUUAAGUGUCUCUUUAUCUCACAGGCUAGAUUUUCAACUUCUGGUGAGAGAUUGCAUUUUUUUUUUUUUUUUUUUUUUUGAGACAGAGUUUUGCUGUGUCACCCAGGCUAGAGUGCAGCGAUCUCGGCUCACUGCAACCUCCGCUCCCGGGUUCAAGCGAUUCUUCUGCCUCAGCCUCCCGGGUAACUGGGAUUACAGGUGCCUGCCACGCCCGGCUAAUUUUCGUAUUUUUAGUAGAGACAGGGUUUCACCAUCUUGGCCAGGCUGGUCUCGAACUCCUGACCUCAUGAUCCACCCACCUUGGCCUCCCAAAGUGCUGGGAUUACAGGUGUGAGCCACUGCGCCCGGCCGAGAGAUUGCAUUUUAUUUAACCCAAUUCUUUCAGUGACAUAGCUAUAAUAACAAUAAAGAUGUAUUAAGUUCCUCUACCAUGUGUUUGAUCCCAUCUAAUUGAACACAUGAUCUUAUCUCAUCCCUACCCUGAUAGAAUAGACGUCUCAUUUUCCAGAUUGGGAACUGAGGCACAGAAAGAUUCAGCUUUGCCCAAAAACCACAUAAUGGACAAGUGGCAGAGCCAGGAUUUGAACCACUUAAGAGCCUGUGUUUUUAUUCUCUCUCUUCUAGUGCCAUCUCACAGUCUUGGCACCAUCUUAGUAGCUUCAGGCUGCUAUAAAAAGUUACCAUAGGCUGGAUGGCUUAAGCAACAGACAUUUAUUUCUCAUGCUUAUGGAGGCUGGGAAGUUCAGGAUCCAGGUGGAGGCUGACCCCAUGUCUUUCUGGGAGGUCCAGCUGCUCCUGGACCAGAUAGUGCCAACACAAUACUUCUCAUUGUGUUAUGAUUGCCUACAGCAGGUGAAGGCCUGCUUCCUGUUUUCCAGAUGGCCGUCUUCUCAUUGUAUCUUAACAUGGUGGAAGGAGAAUGAGAAAGCUCGCUUGUGUCUCUUUUUAUAAGGGCACUAAUCCAGACGCGGAGGGCUCACCUUUACAACAGCUAAACCUGAUCACCCCCCAGAGGCCCCAUCUCCAAAUACCAUCACAUUGGGGAUUGUGCUUUGACAUAUGAAUGUGGGAGGACACGAGCAUUCAGUCCAUAACAGGCACCAAGGCACCAAGUCAGUCUGCACAAGUGUGUCGCUGGGCAGAAGAACAAAAGAGAAGGAAGAAGAAAGAACACAGUACAGAAAUGCCUUUGUGAACAUGGGGGUCCCCAAGUUUUCAGCGGGUGAAGCCAGCAGGCAACAGCUCACACUGGCAUUUUGUCAGUCGGGCACCUUUAUCUUGGCAUUUGGGCUUCCAUCCAGGCUGCCUCAGCUCUUUUGAAUGAACAUGGCCUGCAAAUAGUUCAUCCACAGAGCUGGCUUGGCAGGCGAAGGCUUCUCAGCCCAAGCAGGGGGCUCGAUCUGCCUGCUCUCCUUUCUGUGGCCUCGGAUCCAGCCCUCACUUCUUACCUCCACCAGAUUUGGAGUUUUCAGAGCUAACUGAGGCUUCGGGAAAAGUUCUGUGUUUGGACAAAGCUUUGCAAUAAGGCAGAUCUGGGUUUGAAUCAUCAAUUUAUUUAAUCCUGAAAACCUCAAUUUUAUCUGUAAAAUAAAGAUGAUAAUCAUAACCUAGCUCAC